CAGUCGACGAUGAACCACCUUCGGGUGGGGAUUAGUGGCGAACGGGUGAGUAACACGUGGGCAAUCUGCCCUGCACUCUGGGACAAGCCCUGGAAACGGGGUCUAAUACCGGAUACUGAACCACUUGGGCAUCCUGGUGGUUCGAAAGCUCCGGCGGUGCAGGAUGAGCCCGCGGCCUAUCAGCUUGUUGGUGAGGUAACGGCUCACCAAGGCGACGACGGGUAGCCGGCCUGAGAGGGCGACCGGCCACACUGGGACUGAGACACGGCCCAGACUCCUACGGGAGGCAGCAGUGGGGAAUAUUGCACAAUGGGCGAAAGCCUGAUGCAGCGACGCCGCGUGAGGGAUGACGGCCUUCGGGUUGUAAACCUCUUUCAGCAGGGAAGAAGCGAGAGUGACGGUACCUGCAGAAGAAGCGCCGGCUAACUACGUGCCAGCAGCCGCGGUAAUACGUAGGGCGCGAGCGUUGUCCGGAAUUAUUGGGCGUAAAGAGCUCGUAGGCGGCUUGUCGCGUCGGUUGUGAAAGCCCGGGGCUUAACCCCGGGUCUGCAGUCGAUACGGGCAGGCUAGAGUUCGGUAGGGGAGAUCGGAAUUCCUGGUGUAGCGGUGAAAUGCGCAGAUAUCAGGAGGAACACCGGUGGCGAAGGCGGAUCUCUGGGCCGAUACUGACGCUGAGGAGCGAAAGCGUGGGAGCGAACAGGAUUAGAUACCCUGGUAGUCCACGCCGUAAACGGUGGGCACUAGGUGUGGGCGACAUUCCACGUCGUCCGUGCCGCAGCUAACGCAUUAAGUGCCCCGCCUGGGGAGUACGGCCGCAAGGCUAAAACUCAAAGGAAUUGACGG
rnacentral:rRNA from 1 species